AUGAACGCUGGCGGCGUGCCUAAUCCAUGCAAGUCGAGCGAACGGACGAGAAGCUUGCUUCUCUGAUGUUAGCGGCGGACGGGUGAGUAACACGUGGAUAACCUACCUAUAAGACUGGGAUAACUUCGGGAAACCGGAGCUAAUACCGGAUAAUAUUUUGAACCGCAUGGUUCAAAAGUGAAAGACGGUCUUGCUGUCACUUAUAGAUGGAUCCGCGCUGCAUUAGCUAGUUGGUAAGGUACGGCUUACCAAGGCAACGAUGCAUAGCCGACCUGAGAGGGUGAUCGGCCACACUGGAACUGAGACACGGUCCAGACUCCUACGGGAGGCAGCAGUAGGGAAUCUUCCGCAAUGGGCGAAAGCCUGACGGAGCAACGCCGCGUGAGUGAUGAAGGUCUUCGGAUCGUAAAACUCUGUUAUUAGGGAAGAACAUAUGUGUAAGUAACUGUGCACAUCUUGACGGUACCUAAUCAGAAAGCCACGGCUAACUACGUG
rnacentral:rRNA from 1 species